GAUGAACGCUGGCGGCGCGCCUAACACAUGCAAGUCGAACGAUUAAAGCACCUUCGGGUGUGUAUAAAGUGGCGAACGGCUGAGUAACACGUGGGCAACCUGCCCCUUUCAUUGGGAUAGCCACGGGAAACCGUGGAUAAUACCGAAUACUUCGAGACUUCCGCAUGGAAGACUCGAGAAAGCUCCGGCGGAGAGGGAUGGGCCCGCGGCCUGUUAGCUUGUUGGUGGUGUAACGGCCUACCAAGGCAAUGAUGGGUAGCUGGGUUGAGAGACCGACCAGCCAGAUUGGGACUGAGACACGGCCCAGACUCCUACGGGAGGCAGCAGUGGGGAAUCAUGCACAAUGGGCGAAAGCCUGAUGCAGCGACGCCGCGUGCGGGAUGAAGGCCUUCGGGUUGUAAACCGCUUUCAGCAGGGACGAGGCGAAAGUGACGGUACCUGCAGAAGAAGCCCCGGCUAACUACGUG
rnacentral:rRNA from 1 species